GUAGACUGGGUACGAUUGAAACAAAGGACGGUUGAAACAACACGAAUAUCUCGCAAACCGUUGGUGGGGGGGUUAGGGGUCCAAGGGGAAAAUGAAGCGCACAACUGUUCUAAACACGAACCACAAUGUUGCGUCGAUCUCCGCGCGCUUCAGCUGAUUUUAUAAGACCCUAUUGUGUUUUUAUGACCAAAAAUGCCAAUAGUACGUGUUAAAGAGAUUUCGGGAAGAUAAAUAUACUUUUCAAAGUACAAAGACGUGUAUGAGGAAGUGAAAACCGGAAAUCAUUGCGAAAAGUGGCAGAGAAGCACAAUUAUUCGCUUCUAAGGUAAAUUCGAAUGCGAGAUGACUCUGGCGAGCAAGAAAAUAAAAAAAUGGGAUAUAAUAGAGGAUAU